CAGCAGCCGCGGUAAUACGGAGGGGGCUAGCGUUGUUCGGAAUUACUGGGCGUAAAGCGCACGUAGGCGGUUUGUUAAGUCUGCUGUGAAAUCCCCGGGCUCAACCUGGGAAUGGCAGUGGAUACUGGCAAGCUAGAGUGUGUCAGAGGAUGGUGGAAUUCCCGGUGUAGCGGUGAAAUGCGUAGAGAUCGGGAGGAACAUCAGUGGCGAAGGCGGCCAUCUGGGACAACACUGACGCUGAGGCACGAAAGCGUGGGGAGCAAACAGGAUUAGAUACCCCGGUAGUCCCUGUCUCUUAUAC
rnacentral:rRNA from 1 species